GACGAACGCUGGCGGCGUGCUUAACACAUGCAAGUCGAACGGAACGGCCCUGCUUUUGUGGGGUGCUCGAGUGGCGAACGGGUGAGUAACACGUGAGUAACCUGUCCCUGACUUUGGGGUAACUUCAGGAAACUGGGGCUAAUACCGGCUAGGAUUUAUUGCCGCAGGGUGGGGGUUGGUAAGUUUCGGCGGUUGGGGGUGGACUAGCGGCGUAAGAGCUUGAUGGUGGGGUAGUGGCUUACCAAGGCCUUGAAGGGUAGCCGGGCUGGGAGGGUGAGCGGACACAUUAGGACUGGGAUACGGCCCAGACCAGAACCGUAGGGGGGGGAGGAGAGGGGUAUACAGGGGGCGGGGGCCAGAUCCGGCAACGCCACGUGCGGGAUGAGGGCCAGCGGGUUGUGAUCCGAUUUCGCCUGUGCCGGGGCGAGAAUGACGGUAACGGGUAAAGAAGCACCGGCUAACUACGUG
rnacentral:rRNA from 1 species